ensembl:lncRNA
CAUGGUGUCUGUUGUUUCAGUAAUGAUAAGAGGGGUUCAGAUAUCAUGGUGUCUGUUGUUUCAGUAAUGAUGAAGGGGUUCAGAUAUCAUGGUGUCUGUUGUUUCAGUAAUGAUGAAGGGGUUCAGAUAUCAUGGUGUCUGUUUCAGUAAUGAUGAAGGGGUUCAGAUAUCAUGGUGACUGUAGUUUCAGCAACGAUGGCGUUCAGAUAUGAUGGGGACUGUUGUUUCAGUCAUCAUCGUGCUUCUACACCUGCAUUGCUUGCUGUUUGGGGUUUUAGGCUGGGUUUCUGUACAGCACUUUGUGUAAGAAGGGCUAUAUAAAUACAUUUGAUGUGAUAUCUUUGCCCUCAUUGAGUACCUGGGGCUCAGUUCCAAAAUCCAAAGUAACUUAUAACUUAUUAACAUAUAACUUAGAGUGAAGCAAUGUUAUUUGGGUAUACAUUCUAAGUGGUGUGCUAGUAUGGACAUUGGUGCGUAGCUGGGUUUUAUUAUAUUCAGUUACUUAAAUGGUAAAAGUAUGUCACUUACUUUAUUUACAUUUAUACUAUUUGUGGUUCAUUAGAGAUCAACUGUUUGUCCAUGGAUGUUAUACAUGGACCAACAAAUGUGGAAUGUUGAAACCGAGAUAUGAGAGAAACGGUGACGUACAGCCACGUCUCUGACGUGAAACCGAGCACGUCUGCAAACAUUGAAUUGGACUUUGUCUAAAUACUGUAUUGCUCAAACGUAAAUAAGAAAGUGUAUUUCCUAAUACCUGAUUAUUUUAUUGGGGGUAUUCUCUAGCAACACUGUGUGUGUGUUAACUUGUUCUUCACCUGAAUUCAUCACCAUUUUUUUAUGUCUUGGUUAUUUAAAAUGUAUGCAAUAUGAAAGAGAUUAUCUAUUAAACAUUUUCAUGUUUUCACCCCCAUGGGUAAUGUUAUGGAAUUAUAUAUAUAUAAGGGGAUUUCCUAUGUAGGGAAAAAUAUAGUUGUUGACAAUAAAAUUUGUUUUCAAUAGAUCAUUGCUCUCAGACUUUGUGUUUUGAUACAGAUGUCUAUUUUCAUUCCGGAAACAGUAGGACAUUUAGCAGAUGGAGAUGUUGAAGUCUGAGGCCACGUGACCAGGCCAGUGACCAGGCCACGUGACCAGGCCAGUGACCAGGCCAGUGACCAGGCCAGUGACCAGGCCACGUGAC